rnacentral:rRNA from 1 species
CCUACGGGAGGCAGCAGUGAGGAAUAUUGGUCAAUGGCCGUAAGGCUGAACCAGCCAAGUAGCGUGAGGGAAGACUGCCCUAUGGUUUGUAAACCUCUUUUAUGCGGGGAUAAAGGUUUCCAGGUGUGGAGGUUUGCAGGUACCGCAUGAAUAAGGACCGGCUAAUUCCGUGCCAGCAGCCGCGGUAAUACGGAAGGUCCGGGCGUUAUCCGGAUUUAUUGGGUUUAAAGGGAGCGUAGGCGGGUCUUUAAGCGUGCCGUGAAAUUUUGUGGCUCAACCAUGAGAGUGCGGCGCGAACUGGAGACCUUGAGUGCGCGGAAGGCAGGCGGAAUUCGUGGUGUAGCGGUGAAAUGCUUAGAUAUCACGAAGAACCCCGAUUGCGAAGGCAGUCUGCCGCAGCGUUACUGACGCUGAAGCUCGAAAGCGCGGGUAUCGAACAGGAUUAGAUACCCUAGUAGUC